rnacentral:rRNA from 1 species
UACGUAGGAGGCAAGCGUUGUCCGGAAUCACUGGGCGUAAAGAGCUUGUAGGCGGUUUGUCGCGUCUGCUGUGAAAAUCCGGGGCUCAACCCCGGACUUGCAGUGGGUACGGGCAGACUAGAGUGUGGUAGGGGAGACUGGAAUUCCUGGUGUAGCGGUGAAAUGCGCAGAUAUCAGGAGGAACACCGAUGGCGAAGGCAGGUCUCUGGGCCACUACUGACGCUGAGAAGCGAAAGCAUGGGGAGCGAACAGG